UGGGGAAUCUUGCGCAAUGGGCGAAAGCCUGACGCAGCAACGCCGCGUGCGGGAUGACGGCCUUCGGGUUGUAAACCGCUUCUAGCAGGGACGCGGUACGUGCAGAAAAGACCCGGCCUAACUACGUGCCAGCAGCCGCGGUAAUACGUAGGGGGCGAGCGUUGUCCGGAAUCAUUGGGCGUAAAGAGCUCGUAGGCGGUUCAGUAAGUCGGGUGUGAAAGCUCCGAGCUCAACUCGGAGAGGCCACUCGAUACUGCUGGACUAGAAUCCAGUAGGGGAGUGUGGAAUUCCUGGUGUAGCGGUGAAAUGCGCAGAUAUCAGGAGGAACACCGGCGGCGAAGGCGGCACUCUGGGCUGGUAUUGACGCUGAGGAGCGAAAGUGUGGGUAGCAAACAGGAUUAGAUA
rnacentral:rRNA from 1 species